rnacentral:rRNA from 1 species
AUUGAACGCUGGCGGCAUGCCUUACACAUGCAAGUCGAACGGUAACGCGGGGCAACCUGGCGACGAGUGGCGAACGGGUGAGUAAUGCAUCGGAACGUGCCUGGUAGUGGGGGAUAACUGCUCGAAAGAGCAGCUAAUACCGCAUACGACCUGAGGGUGAAAGGGGGGGAUCGCAAGACCUCUCGCUAUCAGAGCGGCCGAUGUCGGAUUAGCUAGUUGGUGGGGUAAAGGCCCACCAAGGCAACGAUCCGUAGCUGGUCUGAGAGGACGACCAGGCAAACGGGGACUGAGACACGGCCCAGACUCCUACGGGAGGCAGCAGUGGGGGAUUGUGUACAAAGUCCGCAAGUCUGAUCCAGCCAUGCCGCGUGCGGGAAGAAGGCCUUCGGGUUGUAAACCGCUUUUGUCAGGGAAGAAAUCUUCUGGGCUAAUACCCUGGGAGGAUGACGGUACCUGAAGAAUAAGCACCGGCUAGCUACGUGCCAGCCGCCGCCGUAACAC